rnacentral:lncRNA from 10 species
GAGGGCCUCAAAAAGCUUACAAUCAUGGCAGAAAGUGAAGUGGGAGCAGGAAAAUCAUGUGGUGAAAGCAGGAGCGAGAGAGAGAGAGAGAGAGAGAAACAGAGUUAGAGAGAGAGAGAGAAACAGAGUUAGAGAGAGAGAGAGAGAGAGAGAGAGAGUAGGGGAGGUGCCACACACUUUAAACAAUCAGAUCUAACAAGAACUCAACAGCGCAAGAACAGCACCAAGUCUUAAAGGAUCUGCCCACAUGACCAAAACAUCUCCCACCUCGAAAAUUGGGAUUACAUUUCAACUUGAUAUUUGGGUGAUAUGAUAUGAUAUGAUUUGGGUGGGGACAAAUAUCUAAAUAUCCAAACUAUUUAUUCCACCCCUGGCUCCCCAAAUCUCGUGUCCUUCUCACAUUACAAAAUACAAUUAUGCUUUCCCAAUAGUCCCCCAAAGACUUAAUUUAUUCAAACAUUAACUCAAAAGUCUAAACUCCAAAAUCUCACCUGAGAUAAGGCAAGUCCCUUUCACCCAUGAGCCAGUAAAAUCAAAACAAGUUAUUUACUUCUAAGAUACAAUGGGGAUAUAGGCAUUAGGUAAACAUUCCCAUUCCCAAAUGAAGAAAUCAGCCAAAAGAAAGAGGCUACAGGCCCCAUGCAAAUCUGAAACACAGCAGGGCAGUCAUUAAAUCAUAAAGCUCCAAAAUAACCUCCUUUGACUCCAUGUUCCACAUCCAAGAUACACUGCUGCAAAGAGUGGGCUCCCAAGGCUUUGGGUAGCUCCACCCCUGCAGCUUCAUAGAGUCCCCGAGGGUGAUCUCACAGGCUGGAGUUUUCUGUUCCUGUGUUAAUUCACUCAGGAUAAUGGCCUCUAGCUGCAUACAUGUUGCUGCAAAGAACAUAAUUUUGUUAUUUUUUAUAGCUAUGAAGUAUUCCAUGGUGUAUAUGUACCACUUUUUUAAAAAAAAUCUAAUACACAAUUGAUGAGCACCAAGAUUUAUUCCAUGUCUUUCUUACUGGGAAUAGUACUGUAAUAAACACACAAGUGUAUGCAUCUUUUUAAUAAAAUAAUGUAUUUUCUUAUACCCAGUAGUAGGAUUGCUAAGUCAAAUGGUAGUUCUGUGUUAAGUUCCUUGAGAAAUCUCCAAACUGCUUUCCACAGUGACUGAACUAAUUUACAUUCCCACCAACAAUACAUAAGCAUUCCUUUCUAUGCACAACCUUGCCAGCAUCUCUUGUUUUCUGACUUUUUUUUUUUAAUUAAAAAGCCAUUGUGAUGAGUGUGAGAUGUUAUCACAUUGUGGUUUUGAUUUGCCUUUCUCUGAUGAUUAGUGAUGUUAGGCAUUUUUAUAUGUUUAUUGGCUGGUUGUAUGUCUUCUUUUGAGAAGUGUCUGUUCAUAUAUUUUGCCUACUUUUUAAUGGGAUUAUUUGGAGUUUUUUUGCUUGUUGAAUUAUUUAAGUCCUUUAUAGAUUCUAGAUAUUAGACCUUUGUCAGAUGCCUAGUUUUCAAAUAUUUUCUCUCAUUCUGUAGAUUGUCUGUUUAUUUGUUGAUAGUCUAUUUUGCUGUUGAAAAGAAACUAUCUUUGCUGAAGCUCUUUGGCUCUCAGUUUAAGUAGAUCCUACUUGUCAAAUUUCGUUUUGCUGCAAUUGCUUUUAAGGACUUAGUCAUAAAUUUCUUACCAAUGCUGGUAUCCAGAAUGGUGCUUCUUAGGUUUUCUUCUAAGAUUUUUAUAAUUUGUAGUCAUACAUUUAAAUUGUUCAUCAAUUUUGGGUUCAUUUUUGUAUAUGAUGAAAGGUAGGGUUUGAGUUUCAUUCUUCUGUAUAUGGCUAGCCAGCUAUCCCAGCACCAUGUAUUGAAGAGAGAGUCCUUUUCACAUUUAUUAUUUUGUCAAUGCUGUGGAAGAUCAGAGGGCUGUAGGUGGGUGGCUUUAUUUCUGGGUUCUCUACUCUUGGGGCUUCCAACCCUUAGGCCACAGACCAGGGGGAAGGAGGUGAGCAGUGGGUGAGCCAGCGAAGUUUCUUCUGUAUUUACAGGACUUUCCCAUCACUUGCAUUCCUGCCUGAGCUCUGCCUCCUGUCAGACCAGCGGCAGCAUUAGAUUCUCAUAGGAGCUUGAACCCUAUUGUGAACUCCACAUGCAAGGGAUCUAAGUUGCAAGCUCCUCAUAAGAAUGUUAUGCCUGAUGAUUUGAGGUGGAACAGUUUCAUCCAGAAACCAUCUCCCACUCCCAACCCUGGUCCGUGGAAAAAGUGUCUUCCUUGAAACUGGUCCCUGGUGCCAAAAACUUUGGGGACUACUGCUCUACUCUGUUCCAUUGAUCUAUAUGUCUGUUUUUAUAACAGUACCACGCUUUUUUGAUCAUUGUAACCUUAUAGUAUAGUUUGAACUGAGGUAAUAUAAUGCCUGUAGGUUUGUUCUUUUUGCUUAGAAUUGGUUUGACUAUUUGGGAUAUUUUGUGGUUUCAUAUGAAUUUUAUAAUAAUAUUUUCUAAUUUUGUAAAAAAUGCCAUUAGUAGUUUGAUAGAAAUAGUGUCGAAUCAGCAGAUUAUUUGGACAAUAUGGCCAUUUCAACAAUAUUGAUUCUUCCAAUCCAUAAGCAUAGAACAUCUUUCCGUUUGUUUGUGUUAUCUAUGAUUUUUUUCAUCAGUAUUUUGUAGUUUUCCUUAUACACAUUUUUUACAUCUUUGAUUAGGUGUAUUGCUAGGUACUUUUUGUGGUUAUUGUAAAUGGGAUUGUAUUUUUAAUUCAAUUUUGGAACUCAAUAUUGGUCUGUUCAAGGCUUAUUCCUGAUUCAAUCUUGGGAGGUUGUACAUUGCCUGGAAUGUAUUCAUUUCCUCUAGAUUUUCUAGUUUGUGUACACAGAGGUGUUCAUAAUAGUCUCUGAGGACCUCUUGUAUUUCCGUGGGUCAGUUGUAACGUCACCUUAGUCACUACUGGCUGUGCUUAUUUGGAUCUUCUGUUUCUUUGUUAAUCUAGACAGUGAUGUAUCAAUCUUUAUCCUAUCAAGUAACCAACUUUUGGUUUCAUCGAUUCUUUGUAUGGAUUUUUGGGUCUCAAUUUUAUUCAUUUCUGCUCUGAAUUUAGUUAUUUCUUUUCUUCUGCUGGCUUUGGGAUUAUUUGCUUCUUGUUUCUGUAGUUCCCUAUGUAUGAUGUUCAAUUAUUAGUUUGAAAUCUCUCUAUCUUUCUGAGGUAGGUGUUUGGCACUACAAAGUUUCCUCUUAACACUACUUUUGCUGUAGCUCAGAGAUUUUUAUAUAUUGUUUCUGUUUUCAUUUGUUUUAAAUAAUUUGUUGAUUCUUGCCUUAAUUUCAUUGUUUAUCCAAAAGUCAUCCAAGAGCAAGUUGUUUAAUUUUCAUGUAAUUGCAUGGUUUUGGGAGACAUUCUUAAUAUUGAUUACUAUUUUCAUUCCACUAUGGUCUGAGAAUAUGGUUGAUAUGAUUUCAACUUUUUGAAUUUACUGGGACUUGCUUUAUAGCCAAGCAUGUGGUCAGUCUUGGAGUAGGUUCUAUGUGCAGAUGAGAAGAAUUUAUAUUCUGUCAUUGAUGAGGGAAAUAUUCUGUAUACAUCUAUUAGGUCCAAUUGGUGAAGUGUUGAAUUCAAGUCCAGAAUUUAUUUGUUAAUUUUCUGCCUUGAUGAUCUGUCUAAUGCUGUCAGUGUGGUGCUAAAGACCACCAUUAUUAUUUUAUAACUAAGUCUUUUUGUAGGUUGAUAAGUAGUUGUUUUAUCAAUCUGGUUGCUCCAAUGUUGGCUGUGUAUAUAUAUGGUAUAGUUAUAUCUUCUUGUUGAAUUAAACACUUUAUUAUUAUGUAAUGCUCUUCUUUUCCUUUUUUACUUUGUCCUUUUUUACCCUUGUUGAUUUAAAUCCUUUUUCAUCUGAUAUAAAAGUAGUGACACCUGCUAUUUUUAAUUUUCUGUUUGUGUGAUAGAUCUUCCUCCAACCCGUUAUUUUAAUACUAAUUGUCAUUUUGUGUGAGAUGGGUCUUUUGAAUACAGCAAAAAGAUAGAUCUCCUUUCUUUAUCCAACUUACAACUCUGUGUCUUUUAAGUGUAGCAUUUAGACCAUUUACAUUCAAGGUUAUUAUUGAAAUGUAAGGUUUUAAUCAUAUUACAAGAUGUUACCUGGUUGCUUUGCAGUUUCUAUCAUGUGAUUGCUCUGUAGGGUCUGUAGCCUAUGUACUUAAGUAUGCUUUCAUGCUAUCAGGUACUGUUCUUUUGUUUCCAUGUUAAAACUUCCUUAAAGAUGUCUUGUAACGUUGGCCUAAGGGUAAGGAUUUCCCCUAAUGCUUGCUUGUUGGGAAAUAUUUUAUUUCUGUUUUGCUUCUGAAGCUUAGUUUGGCAGGAUAUAAAAUUCUUGAUUGGAAUUUUUUUUUCUUUAGGAAUGCUGAAAAUAUCCUCCCAGUCUCUCCUGGCUUGUAAGGUUUCUGUUGAGAAGUCUGAUGUUAGCAUGAUUUAGUUCCCUUUGUAUGUCAUAUGGCCUUUUUCUGCCUUUAAGAUUUUUUCUUUAGCAUUGACCUUGGACAGUCUGGUGACUAUAUGUCUUGGCACAAGUGUUUUCUGGAUUUCUUAUAUCUGAAUGUCUAUCUCUCUAGCAAGAUUAGGGAACUUUUAUUCAAUUAUUCUCUCAAAUAUGUUUUUUAGAUUGUUUACUUUUUUGCCUUCUCUCUCGGGAAUGUCAGUAAUUCAUAGAUUUGGUCUCAUCUAAUCUCAUAUUUCUCAAAGACUUUGUUCAUUUCUUAAAUUCCUUUUGGUUUAUUUUUGUCUGACUGAGUUAGUUUAAAAGACUGUUUGGAUUUUUUGUGUGUUGACUUUCAGCCUUGCUUGGAUAUUAUUGCGUUUCUUUGUAAUCCAUGCUUGGAAUUCUUUAUCUGCUAUUUUUGAGUUUUCUUUUUGGUUAGGGAUCAUUGAUGAACAGCUAGUGUAAUACUUUGCUGGUGUCACUACCUUCACAUUUUUCACGGUGCCAUAUUCUUGUGCUGAUUUCUUAUCAUCUGGGGAUGUGAGUAAUUUUAAUGGUUGUAAUUAUUUUCAGAUGGAUAGAAUUUUUUUCUUUUUUUUUUCCCUGUAAUAUUUGUGUGUGUCUUUUUUUUUUUUUUUUUUUUUUUUUUUUGAGAUGGAGUCUCACUCUGUCACCCGGACUGGCUGGAAUGCAGUGGCACGCACGAUUCUGGCUCCCUGCAACCUCCACCUCUUGGGUUCAAGCAAUUCUCCUGCCUCAGCCUCCUGGGUAUCUGGGAUUACAGGCGCCCACCACUAUGCCCAGCUAAUUUUUUUGUAUUUUUAGUAGAGACGCGGUUUCACCACAUUGGCCCGGCUGGUCUCAAACUCCUGAACCCGUGAUUCAUCCGCCUCAGCCUUCCAAAGUGCUGGGGCCCGGCCCAUGUGUGUUUUUCUUUACCUUUCCUUCCCCCACCUCCCUAGGGGAUGUGAAUGUAGAGAAUGUUGGGUAGGGUCUUUUAGGCUUUGCUUCUAAAGUCCUAUGCAAUUUUUCAGUGGGUUUUGUAAUGGGCUCUGCAGUUUGACCUAUAAUACAAUAGAUGGCUCUUUUGGGUAAGAGCUGGCUUUGGCCAAUGUGACUGAGUAUAUAUUUGACCAUUGUUUACCAGGAGAUGUUCUCUGUUGCCUUAGUCAAUGGGCUGAUCUGUGGAGGUCACAGUGGUCUGAGUUCCCUGCUCCUCCCCAGAGAGGUGGAGGGCAGAGAUGGAUAGGGCCAACCAGGCUGGCCCACCUACAAGUCCCCUGAUGUCAGGUAUGAGCACCAGCACUGAGGGAGAAUCCAGUAGGUUAUAACCAAGUGCCCAGCAGUGUACCUAAGCAUAGAGCUGGGAAACCUCUUUGGACCCAAGUUCUCUGCCAGAGGAAGUGGGGACAGUCUAAACUUCUAAUCUGAGAGAGUGGAUGAUCUACAUACCUGGAGGUAUGUCUGGGUGUAGGGUAGAGAGGGCAGUGCUGCACCAUAAUCUCUGAGCAGGAAGGGUGGGGCAGCUCAGUCUACCAAGCGGUUGCUACCAAUACCUGGAGUUCUGCCUGGGCAUGGAGCAGAAAGGGGUCCAGAUAUAGUUAGGAUCUCUGUCCCCACUAAUAUUUUAUGUCAAAUUAUAAUCCCCAGCGUUGGUGGUUGGGCCUGAUGGGAGGUGAUUGGAUUGUGGGGGUGGUUUCUAAUGACUUAGCACCAUCCCCUUUGGUCACCACAGUGGAUGAGUUUUUGUGAGACCUGGUUGUUUAAAAGUGUGUGGCAGCUCUCUCUAUUCUUUCUUCCUCCUGCUCCAGCCAUGUGAAGAUUCCUGUUCUGGCUUUCCCUUCCACCAUGAGUAAAAGCUCUCUGAGGCCUUUGCAGCCAUGCUUCCUGUACAUUCUACAGAACUGUGAGCCAAUUAAACCUCUUAUUUUAAAUAAAUUAACCAGUCUCAGUUACUUCUUCACAGAAAUGCCAAAAUGAACUAAUACAGAAAAUUGGUACUGAGGUGUGGGGCACUGCUAUAAAGACACCUGAAAAUGAGGAAGUGACUUUGAAACUGGAUAAUAGGCAGAGGUUGGAACAGUGUGGAAGACUUAGAAGAAGACAGGAAAACGAGGGAAAAUUUGAAACUUCCUGGAGAGUUGUUAAAUUGUUGUGACCAAAAUGCUGAUAGUGAUAUGGACAACGAAGUCCAGACUGAGGAAGCCUCAGAUGGAAAUUACAGACUUACUGGGAAUUAGAGCAAAGGUCACUUUUGUUAUGUGUUAGCAAAGAAUUCUGUGGCAUUGUGCCCUAGGAGUCUGUGGAAUUUUGAACUUGAGAAUGAUAAUUUAGGAUAUCUGACAGAAGAAAUUUCUAAGCAGCAAAGUAUUCGAGAAGUGUCCUGGCUGCUUCUAACAACCUAUGCUUCUAUGCAUGAGCAAAGAAAUUAUCUGAAAGUAGAACAUAUAUUUAAAAGGGAAGAAGAGUGUACAAAAGUUUGGAAAAUUUGCAGCCUGGCUAUGCAGUAAAAAAGAAAAUCUAAUUUUCUGGAGAGGAAUUUAAACAUCUGUAGAGAUU